AGAGUUUGAUCCUGGCUCAGGAUGAACGCUGGCGGCGUGCCUAAUACAUGCAAGUCGAGCGAAUGGAUUGAGAGCUUGCUCUCAAGAAGUUAGCGGCGGACGGGUGAGUAACACGUGGGUAACCUGCCCAUAAGACUGGGAUAACUCCGGGAAACCGGGGCUAAUACCGGAUAACAUUUUGAACUGCAUGGUUCGAAAUUGAAAGGCGGCUUCGGCUGUCACUUAUGGAUGGACCCGCGUCGCAUUAGCUAGUUGGUGAGGUAACGGCUCACCAAGGCAACGAUGCGUAGCCGACCUGAGAGGGUGAUCGGCCACACUGGGACUGAGACACGGCCCAGACUCCUACGGGAGGCAGCAGUAGGGAAUCUUCCGCAAUGGACGAAAGUCUGACGGAGCAACGCCGCGUGAGUGAUGAAGGCUCUCGGGUCGUAAAACUCUGUUGUUAGGGAAGAACAAGUGCUAGUUGAAUAAGCUGGCACCUUGACGGUACCUAACCAGAAAGCCACGGCUAACUACGUGCCAGCAGCCGCGGUAAUACGUAGGUGGCAAGCGUUAUCCGGAAUUAUUGGGCGUAAAGCGCGCGCAGGUGGUUUCUUAAGUCUGAUGUGAAAGCCCACGGCUCAACCGUGGAGGGUCAUUGGAAACUGGGAGACUUGAGUGCAGAAGAGGAAAGUGGAAUUCCAUGUGUAGCGGUGAAAUGCGUAGAGAUAUGGAGGAACACCAGUGGCGAAGGCGACUUUCUGGUCUGUAACUGACACUGAGGCGCGAAAGCGUGGGAAGCAAACAGGAUUAGAUACCCUGGUAGUCCACGCCGUAAACGAUGAGUGCUAAGUGUUGGAGGGUUUCCGCCCUUUAGUGCUGAAGUUAACGCAUUAAGCACUCCGCCUGGGGAGUACGGCCGCAAGGCUGAAACUCAAAGGAAUUGACGG
rnacentral:rRNA from 1 species